rnacentral:misc_RNA from 1 species
CAACCCUCGAGCCCCCCUCCGCCCCGGCGGUGGCGGGGCUCGGCGUUGGGGGUCCACGGCCCCGCGCCGCCCCCGAAAUGCAGUGGCGACCCCGCCGCGGCCUCCCCUGCGCAGUAGCUCCCAGAGAACCUCGCACCGGAAGCGCGGAGGCGGUCACGCCGUAAAACAACCUCCUCCUGGA